UACGUAGGGCGCAAGCGUUAUCCGGAAUUAUUUGGGCGUAAAGAGCUCGUAGGCGGUUUGUCGCGUCUGCCGUGAAAGUCCGGGGCUCAACUCCGGAUCUGCGGUGGGUACGGGCAGACUAGAGUGAUGUAGGGGAGACUGGAAUUCCUGGUGUAGCGGUGAAAUGCGCAGAUAUCAGGAGGAACACCGAUGGCGAAGGCAGGUCUCUGGGCAUUAACUGACGCUGAGGAGCGAAAGCAUGGGGAGCGAACAGGA
rnacentral:rRNA from 1 species